UGGGGAAUAUUGCACAAUGGGGGAAACCCUGAUGCAGCGACGCCGCGUGGACGAAGAAGGUAUUCGUAUCGUAAAGUUCUGUCCUAUGGGAAGAUAAUGACAGUACCAUAGAAGAAAGCUCCGGCUAAAUACGUGCCAGCAGCCGCGGUAAUACGUAUGGAGCGAGCGUUGUCCGGAAUUAUUGGGCGUAAAGGGUACGCAGGCGGUUUAAUAAGUCGAAUGUUAAAGAUCGGGGCUCAACCCCGCAAAGCAUUGGAAACUGAUAAACUUGAGUAGUGGAGAGGAAAGUGGAAUUCCUAGUGUAGUGGUGAAAUACGUAGAUAUUAGGAGGAAUACCAGUAGCGAAGGCGACUUUCUGGACACAAACUGACGCUGAGGUACGAAAGCGUGGGGAGCAAACAGG
rnacentral:rRNA from 1 species